GUCCACGCCCUAAACGAUGAUCACUCGAUGUGUGCGAUAAACUGUACGCGUCCAAGCGAAAGCAUUAAGUGAUACACCUGGGGAGUACGACCGCAAGGUUGAAACUCAAAGGAAUUGACGGGGGCCCGCACAAGCGGAGGAGCAUGUGGUUUAAUUCGAUGAUACGCGAGGAACCUUACCAGGGCUUGAAAGUUAAGGAAUGAUGUAGAAAUAUGUCAGUCAGCAAUGACCUAAAACUAGGUGCUGCAUGGCUGUCGU
rnacentral:rRNA from 1 species